rnacentral:rRNA from 1 species
UACGGAGGGUGCAAGCGUUAAUCGGAAUUACUGGGCGUAAAGCGCACGUAGGCGGAUCAGCAAGUUAGGGGUGAAAUCCCGGGGCUCAACCCCGGAACUGCCUUUAAAACUGUUGGUCUGGAGGUCGAGAGAGGUGAGUGGAAUUCCGAGUGUAGAGGUGAAAUUCGUAGAUAUUCGGAGGAACACCAGUGGCGAAGGCGGCUCACUGGCUCGAUACUGACGCUGAGGUGCGAAAGCGUGGGGAGCAAACAGG